GAGCUUUUUAUUAAUCCCAAUUUCUUCAAUUGCUUUACAUAAUUACUUAAUCAUCUUCUUUUAAGAAUUGUUUCCAAUUUUUCUUCUAUUUCCACUUAAUAGCUUCACCAAUUAACCCUAAGUUGUUCAAUUUUUUGCAGUGAAUUUUGAACAGCCACGGCACAGCGAUGAAGAUUGGCCAACUUCUUGUUUCCGUCGCCCUUAAUUUUAUGUUGCUGGUUGGAAUACUCUUUCUCUACACUCAGUUCUAUGUUGCCUCCAUCUACACUUCCAACCCACCGCCGUCCACCCACGGUAUGUUGAGAAAUUAUCCAAUUUACAAAGUGUGUGUCAUUCUAGAUUAUGGUUUUAUUUUUCUAGUUUUUGUUAGUUUUGUUUGGACAAUUAAAGUUGCUUUAUUUGAAAAUAUUUAUUUGUGGCUGGCGAUUAUUAUUAAUUUGUUCCUAUUCAAAAUUUGACAAUUUGGGGAUUUUGGGAAACUAAUGAUAAAACAAAAAAGAAAAAUAGAGUGGGUUCAUCCUAUUUAGUUCUUUGGCAAUUAUAAUUUAAUGGGUUUCUAUUGAAUUUUGAUAAUAUGAGUUUAAUUAGUGCUUAGAAGAAGAUAAUUGAACUACUAAAACUUAGUUUGGUCUUUUACCCUCUGACUAGUUUUGUGCUUGUCGUUUGAUGAUGGAGUUAGGGCCUUUAGAGUAGUUGCAAUCAUCUAAAUACCAAGGAUUAUUCCAUUGUUUAAUGCUUGAUUUGAGUAUUCCAUUGUUUCAUGCUUGAUUUGUUUAAUUUGUUUAAAGGUAUAUGAGUAUUGUUGAUGUUUUAAUUGGAUCUUGUGUUAUGGUUAGAUAUACAUAUGCAUCACAAAUGCAUUUUGGAUUUUGUCAUUUAGAGAUCAUAUUUUGAUAUAUUUUGUGUACAAGGUACACCACGAGGGUCCUUUGCUGCCAUCACCGUUAACGCAGAUGUUAAAUUGGCAUUGACAUGAACUCGACUCAUAUCUCGUUUUUGUGGUAUUAAAACUUGACUGCAAUUGACUCUUUCUUUGUUUAGACUUGGUGCUUGGAUUCCUUAAUUUGAAAAUUUAUUUGGAUAUAAUAAUAUGAUAACUGAACUUUCUAACUUGUCACUCACCUCAAGAAAGAAUAAAGUAUCUACAGUGUGACAUGCUAUGCACCAAUACAAGAGAUGAUAAUGUUGCACCAAGCACUUUAAAAAUUAGGAAAACAUGCCUCUAUAAGCUAGAUAAAUAGGAGCAUCAACACGACAACACCUUGAUUGAAUAAAGAUUUAAUUUCACAACACUUGAAACCAUAUCUAAACGAAAAUAUCUAUCCUUUUUUUAAUUAUUUUUUUUGGAAUGAAAUAAAACUUUAUAUAUAAGGGUAAUAUUUUGUACUUGUGGUUGAAUAUUAACAAUCUUUGUAUGAAUUUUGGUUGAUAAUGGAGGUUUGAUAUUUAAUGAAUCCAUAGUUCCAUAUGAAAUUUAUUGUAGGUAAAGGUUAGACAUCUCAUCAUUUGCAUUAUCUUAGCUUGUUUAUACAGAAUAUGUAUCUGCAUGCAUGUCAACUCUGUAAGCUGUCCAUAGAUUUUUUGUAUAAUAAAUCAACUGGUCCGACAAAAAACUCAUGCCCUUGAACGAUCAUAGAGCAAUUUUCCUACAAAAUUAAGAAAAAGGUUAUAAUGCUUAGAACUAUUAGUAGAAAAUACUUGAAUUUCUGAAUAAGUAAUCUCUAGCUUGUAAUGAUUAUAGAUACCUAAUGCCAAAAUCUUAAGAUUUAUGACCCACUAACCUCUUGAAUUUUUUUCCUAUGUCUCUUAAUAACUUUAACAUUUAGGCUUUGGCUAGCAUUCAGGAAGUAACAUACCUCACAUUCACAAAGUCUGCACUAGUGCUCUUCAGCAAGUAUUCCUCUACAAUGUAUUAUGUCAUCUCAUUUUGUAAUUGUUUUAAUUAGUUCUCAGAUCUUAAGUCUGUUACAUAACAAGAAAUUGAUAAAGAUUAGAGAUCGUGCAGUGGUUCACAAGUUUAGACAGUGAGGGUCGCAUUUAUGAGUUGUAGUAUAUCAGGUGUGACAGUGCUGACGAAAUAGCAAGGGGUUGUGAUCUUGGUAUUAUAGCAUCAAAAUGCUAGCAGAGACCAAGUAUGAAAUUAUCCAACAAUUUCAAGUCAAGAAACGACUAUUUGGAGUAGUGACAUAUAGAGCUUCAAAUCUUAUCUUCUCAAGGCUUCCUUUUAAUGUCAUCAUGAGAUAUUCAUAUCUUAUUCCUUCUUGUGUUUUUGUCAUACUAUUAUCCCUAAACUAUUGUUAGAGUUAUGUUUUGAUGCAAUAAACAUGUAGUUCUAUAUGAUGUUUACUUGUAAUUUAUUUUUCUAAGUACGAAAUUUUGUAUAUACUCUUAAUUUUUAAUGAAAA